UACGGGGGGGGCAAGCGUUGUUCGGAAUUACUGGGCGUAAAGGGCGCGUAGGCGGCCUGCUAAGUCGGAUGUGAAAUCCCUCGGCUCAACCGAGGAACUGCAUCCGAUACUGGCGGGCUUGAAUCCGGGAGAGGGAUGUGGAAUUCCAGGUGUAGCGGUGAAAUGCGUAGAUAUCUGGAGGAACACCGGUGGCGAAGGCGGCAUCCUGGACCGGUAUUGACGCUGAGGCGCGAAAGCUAGGGGAGCGAACAGG
rnacentral:rRNA from 1 species